rnacentral:lncRNA from 1 species
CAGGGUGACUCAUGACACCCCAGUCUGACAUAGGAUACCCCAGGGUGACAGAAGACAAAACAGGAUGGCUCAGGAAACCCCAGGAUGACACAGGACACCCCAGGCAGACCCAGAACACCCCAGGCUGACAAAGGUCAACCCAGGAUGACACAGGACACCCCAGACAAACUCAGAACCCCCCAGGCUGACACAGGACACAACAGGAUGAAACAGGACACCCCAGGGUGACCCAGGACACCCCAGGAUUACUCAGGACACCCCAGGCUGACUCAGGACUUCCAGGGACAACUCAGGAAUCCACAGGAUGACACAGGACACCACAGGAUGAAAUGGAUACCCCAGGAUAUCACAAGACACCCCAGACUGUUACAGGACACACCAGGCUGACACAGGACACCCAAGGCUGUCGCAGGAUACACUAGGAUGACACAUGAUACCCCGGAUGACUCACGACAAUACAGGCUGACACUGGACACCCCAUGGUGACAGAGGACACUCCAGGAAUACUCAGGACAACCCAGGGUGACACUGGAGACCCAUGGAUGACACAGGACAUCCAGGCUGACUGGGGACCAUCCAGGCUGACAAAAGACACCCAAGGCUGACAGAGGACAACCCAGGAUGACACAGGACACUGCAGGAUGACAUGGACACCCGAGGAUGACACAGGACUCCCCAGGAUGACUGUGGACACCCUGCGCUGACUCUGGAUACUCCAGGAUGACUCAGGACACCCAAAGCAGACAGAGGACACCCCAGGCUGACUCAGGACACCCCAAAUGACUCAGGACACCCCUGGCUGACUUAGGACAUCCCAGGAUGACUCAGGACACAACAGGAUGACUCUGGGCACCCCAGGAUGACUCUGGGCACCCCAGCAUGACUCUGGACACGCCAGGAAGGCUUACGACACCUCAAGUGAUUCAGGACAUCCCAAGCUGACACAAGACACCCGUGGCUGACUCAGGAAACCCCAGGAUGACUCAGGAUACCCAGGGAUGACUCAGGAAACCAUUCAGGAUACCCAGUGAUGACUCAGGACUCCCCAGGAUGUCUCAGGACACCUCAGGAUGUCUCAGGACACCCCAGGUUGACACAGGACACCCCAGCCUCAUUCAGAUACCGU